GAUAGUGAGAGAAACUGAAUUAGGGUUUGUAGAGUGUGUUUGACAAAAGAAACUAUGGCAGAUCUUUAACAAAAACCCCGAAACAAGAAAAUCUAAAAGUACAAAUUGGCCAACCAAAAGAUGGGUUUGUGGCUAAAAAAGAAAUCGCCAACCAAAAGACGGGUUUGUGGCUAAAAAAGAAAUUGGUGAUGGUGGGUCUGUGAAACGGGAUCAAAACUAUCAUCAAUAUGCAAGAAUGGUUGUGAUAUAAAAGAUGGCAAAUUACUUGGUUGUGGGUCAAAAGGGAACAAAAUUGGCUGGCAGAGGAAGAAAAGGAUUUGAGUAACAGGACAUCUUUAUAGAAGACAACCUGAUUUCGACCAAUCAGAGAAGAGCAGGUUGUGAAUGGAAUUGAGCAAAUUACUAGCAAGUUAAAACAUAGAAGGGGAGUUUUUAAAGGGUAGUUGCCCCUCUCUUGCCACAACAUCAUCAUGUUGAGCUGGUGAGUUCAUCCCCACUUGGCCACUUCUUGUUGAAAAUCAACAACCCUUCAACAGAAAAAGAAAAUAAAAUAUAAAAGAGUAAAUUAUAGUUUUCGUCCUUUGAAAAGUUUUGAAUGAAAGGGUACUUCCUACCUCUUUCUCUCUCUCUCUCUCUCUCUCUCUCUCUCUCUCUAGAACACACUGUGUUUCCGAGUUUACUAAAUGUAUAUGUCGUGAAAGUUAUGAUUGGAGAUGGCGAUGAUGCUUAUUUCUGUAUGGAUUAUUUUCCGAACAUCAUAAUUGGGCUUAGGGUUAGAUCCGGCCCGUAUCUUGGCGGGGCAACCCGGAUGGUAUGUGAGAUGCAACCGGUGUUGCAGCCAUGGUGGAUAGGGCAAAACUCUGCAACAACAAUCAUCAAUCUCCGUAGCUACAAUCCAUAUGAAGGUGUUGACAGUGAGAAAAAGGAACAAUUGACAUGCAAUCUGCACACUUUUUCAUCUAAUUCCAACACAAAACCAAACUUUUUAUCAGUCCUAUUUAUUAUGCCCACUAUGGCUGCUGAAAAAUCUGACGUUUUAUUGGCCGAACAAAUCAAACAAGCAGCUAUGAAGCUUUUAAAGGUAACCCAUAAGUUCUAUUAGCUUCAGUUGAUCCAUUUUUUUUUACUGUAUUAUAUAUUUAUAUGAUGUUUGAUGUGUACUCUGUGUUGGGUUUUGUCAACUAAUAAGUUUUCACAAGCGAUUAAUUUGUAUUCAAAAGCGAUUGAAUUAAAUGGUCAAAAUGCUGUGUAUUGGGCGAAUCGGGCUUUUUCUCAUACUAAAUUGGAGGAAUAUGGUAGUGCUAUUCAGGAUGCUUCUAGGGCUAUUGACAUUGACCCUAAGUAUUCAAAGGGUUAUUCUCGGCGUGGUGCUGCGUAUCUGUCAAUGGGGAAGUUUAAAGAUGCACUUAAGGAUUUUCAAAAAUGAGUCGUGUCGAAUAUAGCUUAUAAUUUCGAGUUACUAAAACUUUUGACGUUGCGGCGGCGGGUCAAAAUCCUAGUACAAACUAAAAAGGAAAUCGAUAAUUAUAUAAUAUGGGAAUAAAUAAUUAUAUCUUUAUUUUCA